rnacentral:rRNA from 1 species
GGCCUAUUGAUAAUGAUUUUAGGUYUGACCUGCCCAAUGAGAAGUUGAAUGGCCGCGGUACUUUGACCGUGCAAAGGUAGCAUAAUCAUUAGUUUUUUAAUUAAAAGCUGGAAUGAAAGGUUUGAUGAAAAAGUUUCUGUCUCUGUAAAAAUUAAUUAGAACUUUAUUUUUAAGUUAAAAAGCUUAAAUAUGUAUAGAAGACGAGAAGACCCUAUAGAGUUUUAUAUUUUAAGUUAAUAGAAAUGUAGGAUUAAAAAUUAUUAUUAAUAGAAAAAUAUUUUAUUGGGGUGAUGAAAAAAUUAAAAGAACUUUUUUUAAGUAGAUCAUUAAUUUGUGAAUAUUUGAUCCUUUUAUAAAGAUUAUAAGAUUAAAUUACCUUAGGGAUAACAGCGUAAUUUUUUUUAGAGUUCUUAUCGAAAAAAAAGAUUGCGACCUCGAUGUUGGAUUAAAAUAAAUUAUUGGUGAAGAAGCUAAUAAAUUAGGUCUGUUCGACCUUUGAAAUUUUACAUGAUCUGAGUUUAAACCGGUGUGAG